UCUCUCUCUCUCUCUCUGACACACACAACAACUGUUACCAUGCGGAGCAAGCCUGGUUCACUUCUAUUUCCACAAUCUCUUCUUGUUCUUUUCUUUGUCUCCAUUCUUGCUCUUUCCUCUAUGCUUUUAAGCUUCCCCAUUUGACUACUACAGUAAUUACAUGGCUUUCUUGAGGUUGGGCUCUAAAUCUGAAGCUUUUCAUCGUGAAGGCCGAACCUGGCUUUGCACAACUGGGCUUCAAAGUGAUGUCACUAUUGAGAUUGGAGAAAUGGCUUUCAAUCUCCUCAAGGUGCAUUUAUUUGGUUCUGCCCAACCUUUAAAUAGUUAGUAUGUGAACUUUUCUAUUGACUUUUGAUGCCACCCAUCCUACCAACUUAUCCCAAAACCAAACGAGAAAGAUAAGCACUAAUUAUCUAAUGGAUGCAGUUUCCGUUGCUUUCAAGAAGUGGACUAUUGGAGAAGCGUAUUGAAGAACUUUCUUGCGAGAAUGGUUCUAUUCUUGUCUUGAAACUUGAUGGCAUACCUGGUGGUGCUAAAGCGUUUGAGCUUAUAAGCAAAUUCUGCUAUGGUGUGAAAUUAGCGCUCACUGCUGUGAAUGUAGUCUGACUUAGAUGUGCAGCUGAGUACCUCCACAUGACUGAAGAUCACGGAGAAGGAAAUCUCAUUGCUCAGACUGAGGCUUUCCUUAAUGAACUCUUCAGCUAUUGGGAAGACUCUCUAAAAGCUCUAGAAGCGUGUGAAGAAGUUCUACCUUAGCUGAAGAACUUCACAUUGUCUCAAGGUGCAUUGAUUCCUUGGCAAUGAAAGCUUGUGCAGACCCAAAAGUAUAUAAUUUGCCUUUGUCAGGACAAACUAACUCUCAGAAUGAGGGAAGUGUAAUAGUAUGGAAUGGCAUAUCUGUUGCAACUAAACCAGAGCCCAUGGGUGAUGAUUGGUGGUUUCAAGAUGUCUCAUUCCUCAAAUUACCAUUAUAAAAUCGAUUGAUUUUAGCUAUUGAAUCAAGGGGAAUGAAGCCCGAGACUGUUGCUGCAUCUCUUAGACACUAUGCUAAGAAGUAUCUUCCCUUGAUGAAUGAGCAAUCAAGCUUCAACAACAUCACUCAUGUCAACCCUGGGACAACUGUUUCAUUCCCUACUGAGGCUGACCAAAGAAUUCUCCUUGAAGAGAUUGUGAAUUUAUUCCCUAAUAAGAAGGGAGUCACUUCAUCCAAGUUUCUCCUUAGGCUGCUUCGCACUGCUAUGUUAUUGCAUGCUGGUUCAUCAUGCAGAGAAAAUUUGGAGAAAAGGAUGGGAGCUCAGUUGGACCAAGCUGUACUUGUAGAUCUUCUCAUACCAAAUAUUGGUUACUCAGUGGAGACCCUUUAUGACAUAGUUUGUGUUCAGAGGAUUCUUGAUCAUUUUGUGUCAUUACACCAAGAAACAGCUUUAUCAACUUCCCCUUGCAUAGUUGAAGAGGGCCAGUUUCUGGACGGGACAGAUGCAUUAACACCAAUAACAAUGGUGGCCAAUCUGCUGGAUGGAUUUCUUGCUGAGGUAGCACCAGAUGUUAAUUUGAAGCUCCCAAAAUUUGAGUUGCUUGCUGCUACCAUCCCUGAUUAUGCCAGGCCACUCGAUGAUGGAGUUUAUCAUGCUAUUGAUGUGUAUCUGAAGGCACAUCCUUGGCUUACAGAUAUAGAGAGGGAGCAACUUUGCAGAUUGAUGAACUGCCAGAAGCUCUCACUAGAAGCUAGCAUCCAUGCAGCACAGAAUGAGAGGCUACCUCUUAGAGUAAUUGUCCAAGUCCUCUUCUUUGAACAACUUCGGCUCCGUACAUCAAUUUCUGGUUGGUUUUUUGUCUCUGAGAAUUUGGAGAACUCACAAAAUCCUAGUGGAAACCUAGGGCUUCCCAAAAAGGAUGGUUCCUGUCCAGUGGACUCUGCACAAGACCAUGCUGUGGGUGAUGACAUGAGGGAGCACGCAUCUGAGCUUGAAAAAGAGUGUUCAAACAUGAAGGAAGAGCUUCAGAAGCUUGUAAAGACGAAGAGAAAAUGGAAAAUAUUUUCUAAGAAAUUUAGUUUUAGACAGAAACUACAACCCUGCAAUUCAAAAAAAUGGUGCGAUUUAAAGGAACCAGAAUCAUCUAAUGAAUCGGCAACUGAAUCAUGAGAACAAUGAUAUGGCUCAAUAAAAUUCCAAAUUCAAACUAACUGGACAACAGUGUCAUUCUACAUUUCUUUAUCUUUGUUUUUUGAAUGCCAUAAAAAUGUGAUUCUUUUCCUGUGGAUUACAGAACAAUCAUAUUCCCGUAUUGUUUGAGGAGUUACGUUUUAGUUCAAUCCUUCUCUUAUCAGUUCAUUGACUUGCAAACAAGCCCAUAUUUUUUAUGUUUAAUUUGUUUCAUUUGUACCUCUGCUCAUGAAAGGAAUUAAUAAGUAGCCUUUGGGUUGGUCUUUCUGUAUCAACUUCUAUGCUUGCUGUGUUCUUGGCUCUUUGAACCCUUUUUACCUUUUUUCUGUUUUUAAUUUAGUAGCAGAUGACUCUUGAUUUAUAUGACUUUCAUUAUGAUAUAGGUAAUUUACUGGUUAAUAUAUUAUCUUACUUUGCCUCAGGUGGUUGGAGCUUUGAAGAUUAGUCUUAUUUGUAUCAUUUGGAUGGCAGAGGUUUUAUAGAUAGUCCUUGAAACAAUCUCAAUCCAUUAAAAUUGAGGCAGGUUGCUUUCUUAAAGAAUAAGCUUCUGUGGAGAAGCGUAUUACAGAAUAACAAAAACAGAAUAGAUGUGGGGAAAAGGGGACAAAAAAGAAAGGGAAUCUCUGUCAAGAAAAUGAGUCGUUGUUUUGCACACCUAGCAGGGUGGGAGGUCUGCUGGUAGUGGUAGAAUAUAUUUUCUGGCAACUUUACAUGCUCAACAAUGAAGGCCAUCUUUAACCCCCACAUGGUUUUGAGUUCCAGGUGACGGUGCAUGAAUCAAACACCAUGUAGAAGCAUGAUUGUCAUUACACAUUAUAAUUUACAAUGUAUCUAUUAUAUACUUACCGAACAAUUUCUUGUUGCCUGGGUUAUUGGCUCUGAACCUUAUAGCAGUUCCAACUGGUUUACUCUCUGGAGGAUCAGUCUUUUGCAGGAUCAAAGUCAAGAAUCCCACUCCCAACAACAAAAGCAUGCUUGGAAAUCAUUUAUAUACCACCCCCAACAACAAAAGUAUAUGAAGC
rnacentral:misc_RNA from 1 species